rnacentral:rRNA from 1 species
CUACGGAGGGUGCAAGCGUUAAUCGGAAUUACUGGGCGUAAAGCGCGCGUAGGCGGUUUGGUAAGUCGGAUGUGAAAGCCCCGGGCUCAACCUGGGAAUUGCAUUCGAUACUGCCAGACUAGAGUAUGGUAGAGGGAAGUGGAAUUCCGGGUGUAGCGGUGAAAUGCGUAGAUAUCCGGAGGAACACCAGUGGCGAAGGCGACUUCCUGGACCAAUACUGACGCUGAGGUGCGAAAGCGUGGGGAGCAAACAGGAUUAGAAACCCUAGUAGUCC